CUGGGGGCGGGGGGUCCCUCAGCCUGGAUUGCAAAAGGGUACAGGCCAGGCCAAGGAACUCCACUGGUGCAGG
rnacentral:pre_miRNA from 1 species